UUAUUUAAUAAAAAUAUAUUUAUUGAUAACCUACUCUGUAUGUGUAAUUUUCAGGAAAGAGAAACACAAAGAAAUAUGAAUACAAGCCAGGAGGACAAGCAUCCUGCCUUCAGGGAGCCUUGGUGAGAGGAAGUAACACAGCAAAAGCAAAUAAGUUUUGCAGACUGGGAUCACUGUUCUCUGCUUCCAAGAUGGCCCCUGGAAUGCUGCCUCCUUCUCCAGAAGGCGAAGUGCUCUGUUCUCACAUGACAAGUGAAUUCUGAGGAGGCAUAAAAGGAUGGUUACAAGAGGAGAUGAGAUUGUCUGGUACAGAUUUGGUAAGCUGCAUGUUAUCAUUUAUAAAUUUACCUUCUUUGCAGUUUGUGAAAAUCUGACUGUACUCAAGAGCAUGUAGCUAGUUUAGAUCUCAGCAGAGUGCUUUUUUUCUCUUUUUUAAAGAAGUUGCAAACAGUUUACUUGAAAUGGGAAGCUGUACUUACUAAUGCAUGCUGACAGAAAUGGUCCAUCUCUCUUAGAGGGAAACA